rnacentral:lncRNA from 1 species
UCAGUGACGGGAGCUCCGGUCACAAAUUCCAUAUUAGUAACCGGAAACACGGUAUAGUGACGGAAAUCUCCGUCACUAUACGCGUGUUUUCUGGUAGUGGGUAGCAAAAGUCCAUAAAGAUCGAGGUACUUAGAUCCAUGGUACUUUUGUCAUCACCUUUCAAUCAUCCUAUUUCUGGCUAAUCCAACGAUGAUAGCAUGUCCGCGUAUCU